CAUUUCGGCCAUGCUACAGUGGUUCCCCCAUCUCAGCGCCGCCAUCUAGUGGUUCACCACGUCGAGGAGCAUCCAGCACGCCCUUCCCUACUCCUCGAAUCGCCCUGCAUCAUCGAGCCCAUGCUCGAGUGAGACGACCUCUGUUUCCCUAAAACUCCUCAUCCUUUCCGUCCGUCAUCUUCAUAACGCGACCCUUAUCUGUCUUCUUCUUUUGCGCCUGUACCUUGUCUACAACACGCAGUAAGCCAAGUGGUUCUGUUCCUUGCUGAUCCAUUAGCGUGUCCUUGGUCUACAGCAAAAACGACGCGCGCUUGCAUUCAUCGAUAUCCAAGUAGCAGUACAGUUGGUUCGUUCCUUCGUCGUGCUGUAACUGAACGUGAGGUUGAGUUCACGUUCAGGCUUAAGAAAAGGUUGAGUUCACGUGAGCCACCCUUUUAUUCUUUUCAUCCUCUGACUUGUGUGGUUCCUUUUUCAAACUUCAGUGACAACCAAACCAGGCGCUACACUCCCAUCGACCAAGUCUUUCCGAUCUGUCCGACCGUGUUGCCGCACAAGAUCUUUUUCCUGGCGUACACUACUUCGACUAUGGAACGUCAAGAGGGUGGAGACUUGACUACUUCCGCGACCAGCGCUUCUCUCUGUGUUCGCCACAUUUUCAACGCUCCAACUUUGUUCAGUUUCGUCAGUUUUGAUACACCGUCCAGAAACGAGCUUCAGAGUGCUGCGCGUGUCUCCAUCUGUUUCAAUAUCUGGGUGGUAGCCCAUCUGAUCCCAUGCUUGGAGAUAGUUCAGUGUACACGUGAGCCAAUCUAAAUCAGCUUCAGCAAAGCAACCCAGUGGCUAUAGCCUUCAUCUCUUUCACGGUGGUAUCAGGAUCAACUACCAGAGUGUGUU